rnacentral:rRNA from 1 species
AUUGAACGCUGGCGGCAGGCUUAACACAUGCAAGUCGAACGAGUGGCGGACGGGUGAGUAAUGCUUGGGAAUCUGGCCUAUGGAGGGGGAUAACGACGGGAAACUGUCGCUAAUACCGCGUACUAUAGGAUGAGCCCAAGUGGGAUUAGGUAGUUGGUGGGGUAAGGGCCUACCAAGCCGACGAACUCUCGCUGGUCUGAGAGGAUGACCGGCCACACCGGAACUGAUGCACAGCCCGAAGUCCAGCGGGAGGAAGCAGUGGGGAAGAUUGCGCAAGGGGGGAAACCGGACGCAGCGAUUCCGCGUGAUGGAAGAAGGCCUUCGGGUUGUAAAGUUCUUUCGGUGGCGAGGCGUUACUCACAGAGGAAGCACCGGCUAACUCCGUGACAGCAGCCGCGGUAAUAC